rnacentral:piRNA from 1 species
UCAUAAGAGAUUGUAGGUAUGUCCUGC